CUCCGGCCCGGCCCGGCCCGGCUGCGUGUGCGUCCCGAGAAGCAGGCCAGCGCGGCGCGGCGGAACUCAGAGCUGCCCUCAAAUUCACCUUUCUGAACCCAUUUAAGGAGAUUGGUGAGUACCUCAAUAUUUCUUCUAAUCCUUUUAACAAGUACUGGUCAUGGC
rnacentral:lncRNA from 1 species